CCGCACAACCAGCAAGAAG
rnacentral:miRNA from 1 species